rnacentral:lncRNA from 1 species
GAUCCCAAUCUAAAAUUAACCUUUUUUAAUAAUUAAAAGGGGAGAGGAUUCUGUUUUUACUUUUAGAUGUUACGUACUGGGGAGUAGAAUUAUCAUGCAGCUAAAGCAACAACUUUGACCACUUUUUUCUUUUUUUUCAGCUCAACGGCCCCCGUGAAGACAUUUUAGUCAGCUGGAAUCCAUGCUGUACUGACACUGCAGAAAAGCAAAACACAUUUGGAUAUUAAAAAAAUCAAAGACAGGGCAAAGAAGACAAUGGGAUAAUGGAAGAAAAAAGGUUCAGGAGUGUGACUGUGCUGAGCCAGGAAGUGAUUUUUUUUCUCUCCUUGUGAUCUAUCCACAGAUGAACUCUCUGACACUUCAUCUGCUGUGCUGAAGAGACGUCGCCGUGCCUUAAUUGAAGACAAGUAUGAACAGGGUAGAUCCAACAAGGAGCAUGAAGGAGGUGAUAUGGAUCACAUUCUCAAAAGCAGAUUUACAGCUGAACUCUCCACGUGAUUUACAUAAGACGAUGGCUCCAUCAGUCUGCACUUGUGAGCGGUGCAAUGAUGUAAAGUGUAUGACGGUUUACUCUUGUCACUUACAAAUCAUAUUUACUGUACUUCAGACACACUCCGUUGCACCGUUUGCACAGUACAACACAUGUUCCUGUCACACAUUCAACAG